GGCAGUGCUCUCGGGUGCGGCGGCUCUCCGGCGAGGUUCGUCUUUUGGUGAUUCGGCUCCGGUCAACCUGUAGAGAAAAGAAUGGUGAUCACGGUGAUAUAAAAAUUGCAUCAAACGGAGGCCGGGAAGGGCCUCAUCGGAGGCAAAAAUCGAGGAGGGGCGCGGCGGCGCCGCUGGCUUUCGGCCGUAUUUUCCGGCCGUUUGGCCGGGAUUUUGGCUCUGAUUUGGCCACAGGGGAAAUCAGCGUGGAAAAACGAGUCAAGGGUAUGAAAUUUACCUCGAUCGGCGGUCGAAAAUCUCCCCGGUGCGGCGGCGGGCGGCGGCGGUCGGCUUCUGGUUCGUCUUCUCCGGCGAGGGCAGGCGGCUAGGGUUUUGUGGUCUGGUGUGGGGGUUCUAUUUAUACCAUUUUGCCUUUUGAUCUCAACCGUUCAUUUUGUUUUAAUCUGGGCCGUCCGUUUUUUGAUUGAAUCUGGGCCGUCCGAUCGCGCGUACGCGGAUCGCCAACGUGGCCCUUCCCCGGUCGACGUGGUUUUGCCACGUGGCAGGUCCUGGUUGGUCAGGACUGCUGACUGGGUCUGCUGACGUGGCUGUUGACGUGGCACACAUUUUUUUUUUCCCUCUUUCCGGGCAUUACACUGACUACUUGGCGAAUCAGACCUUUAUUUGGCCCCUUAAGAAUUAUCACUUAUAACUCCCUCCCGAGGAAUUUCUGAGUAUCACGAGAGAAGAUAUCAUUGGAGUUUCUUUCCUUAAGAU
rnacentral:lncRNA from 1 species